AUUUAUAUAGUUUAUUAAAAACAUUACACUUUCACUGUAAAAACAAAGUUCAACUUUUAUAAAUA
rnacentral:tRNA from 3 species